UACGGAGGGUGCGAGCGUUAUCCGGAUUUAUUGGGUUUAAAGGGUGCGCAGGCGGGUUAUUAAGUCAGCGGUGAAAGCUCCACGCUCAACGUGGAAAUUGCCGUUGAUACUGAUAGUCUUGAGUCAUGUCGACGGUGGCGGAAUGCAGCGUGUAGCGGUGAAAUGCUUAGAUAUGCUGCAGAACUCCGAUUGCGAAGGCAGCUGCCGAGAGAUGAACUGACGCUGAGGCACGAAAGUAUGGGGAUCGAAC
rnacentral:rRNA from 1 species